rnacentral:SRP_RNA from 1 species
CUAUACUAACAACAGUAGCUUUAUCCUGCGGGAAGCUGUCAUGGCUGCCCUGUGUAAGCGGCGUUUGACAAUCGGGUCUUGCGCAAUGGAAAUCCGUGAAUCGUGUCAGGUUGGGAACAAAGCAGCACUAAGCGGAAUCUUCCAUGUGCCGCAAGGGCGCCUGGUUCGAGCCGGCUGCACAGGUAACGCGUGGCAGUUUCCCGGAGGGUAGAG